rnacentral:lncRNA from 1 species
GGGCCCUCCUUGCUCUCUCUGCCCCUUCUCUCUCCCUGAUCCCCUUUUUCUGCUCUCUCCCUUCCCCCCUCCCACCUCUCUCUCCAGGUGUUCCUGGCCUGCCUGUCCUCUUCUCUCUCUGUCUCUCUGUCUGUCUUUCUCUGCCUCUACUUCCUCUCAACUCCCCUUCCUAUAUUCCUAAAUAAACUCUAUUCUGCUCUCAUCCCUUUACCUCAGGGAUGGCUCAGCACGGGGCCGCCGAGGCUCCCCUCUCACCUCACCACACCUCACUCUACAGAACAUAUCCUGGCUUCUUUUUAUAAAACAUAACAUCCUCCAUCAAUUCUAAUCUAACAAAAGGCAAAAGGACUUUUGCUCAUAAAUAUAUCUGCAGUGCCUAAAACGGCCCAGAAAUCCUUCAGUCAAUAUCUGUGGAUUGAACAUCACACUUUAAAAGAACAAGACCCAGGCUGCCUAUCCUCUGCUCCCACCGCAGGGCAGCUAAGAGUGACUUCCCCAGGUGGAUUGUGCUAUGUGGGUUUAGACGCAGUCUGAGAAAGGAAACUUCAGUUGUCUAAAGGCCGAGCAGAGAUCUUCUGGGAAAAGGACUGAAGCAAUAGGUUGCAAGUCCCAGUUCACAGAGCAGGGCUAGGUGGCCUCGGAGAACAGAAUUUUCCUAGCUUUGAAGAUAAGUCGU